AGUACUGCUUGGCAACACAUUACUGCUCCAGAGCGAGGAAGAAAGUCUACGCCAUCUUUGGCUGUCAAACGAUACACCGGUCUUGCAGUGAUAAUGUGACUUUAAGCCCACCUGAUGUCUACCUUUCCUCACCCGAUAAGUCGCCAAGAAGUCGGACUUACUUUCGGUGCACCCCAAUUUGCAACAAUAUUUCCGUAGGGAAUGAAAUUAAUACCUAACUGAUCUUAACGUUCACUUUCCGAUGAGAACCAUCAACGACCGGUGGCUAGCUGACUACAUGCUACUUUCCCAGCACGGAGGUCUCCCAGUCCAGACUCAUCAUGUGGUGAUGGAUUUCAGCCAGGACUGGGACAGUCAGAGUGCAAUGGGUUUGGAGAGUAAACUCGUAAGUGGCCAGCACACUCUUGAAAUGGAAGAGGACAGAGGACAACAGAUGGAGAGAAUUUAGAAGAAAAGAGACGUCAGAGAUGCAAAGAAAGGAAGUAAACUAGAUGGAGAAGUUCAUGAGGAAGAAUCACGGGGCAGAAAAUUACAGAAGCUAACUACAGAGAGAAGAUGUCAAAUGAUGGCAAAAUGGAAAGUUGUGGAUGUUUUCAGGGAUCAUCUGUAAUCACUACUAUCAGCUCAGACACUUGCAGUCAAUACCUGGAGCUUCAGAAAAGUCAGGCAAGUUCAACACCUCAUAAAAAAUGUUUUCAAACAAAAGGUGAUCAGAUUUUUGGCAAAACUCCAUAUGUUCUGCGGGAAAAUUUUCAAAGGUAAUCAUACGUAAAUAAUCUAAUAUUUGCAGAUGAAAAAAGGUUGUUGGACAAGUAGAAUAUCUUAUUAAAGAUCAGAUUGCUCAGUCUUAAGUCCUGUGGUUCCUGUGAUGGGAAGAAGUGACUCUCCUGCCAUCUAGUGGUGACAGACAGGUGACGUUAUGUCUCCUGACUCAGACCUGGAAUUUUCUGGCUCCACGUGUGGGAGAUGUCUGGGCAUGUGCAGCUAUGCUGACCUAUUGUAAGUGAUCAAACUAUUGUUGUUAAUGUUUAUUUCUGUUUAGUGCACACAGGUUUGUGCGACUGCACACACACAGACCCACUCAAAUCCCCUCAGGGACAGGUGCAGUCAGAAGACAUGCAAGUUUGUCCAGAAAACUGUUGGAAAACUGUGUGAGUGAAUAUAUUUAUGUUUGUGUGUUUCUGUCUCCGUGAGAACCAGUUUUUACCGUGGGAUCUACAGAGUGAUGACAGAGUGCUGUAAUCCAUGUAGGCCUCCAGGUGUUCCAGGGUUUGGUUUUGAAAUUAGGUUCGGUCAAGAUUACUGUUUGAUAAAAAAGGUUUGAUAAAAAAGGUUAAAGGUCAGGGUUGGGUUAGAGACCAGUGAAAAUUUGUUUGUGCACAUCAUUUACUGAAAUGAUAAAAGCCUUAAAGUAUCACCUAAUCUUGGAGCAGCAUCUUGUUGAGGGACCCGAACUUUAAAGGGGCUAUUCGUUUUCUCUGCCUCUGAAUGUGGGUUUGCACUGGGAGCGGGUGGUGGUGAUGGUAACUUGUCAAGAGUUUCCAAGAGUCUAAAAUUAUAGAAGAAUGACUCUUUUUCUUUGUCCUGUUUCAGUUGACAAACAACAAAUGCGUGCAUUACUGCCAUCGUCUGUAUGUGGACAGUCUCAACAUGUUUGGCUGAAACAGUCUGAUGAUCUAAUAUUCAGUGUGCCUUUUGGGUUUCACCCCUCCUCAAUGAGCUACUGCUAGAGUACAAAGCAAAGUGAAUUGGUUUAGAAUACAGUAAAUUUUUGCAGUUGCAACUUUGUGUUACAUUUAUAGAUCCAAGCAAAUACUUUUUAUAUCAUAUUUAUAUUGGUUUUGCUUUGGAACCAGAGAAGUUUUUCAGAGCAUCCAGUUUAAUGCAGCUUGAUCUGUGACCUCUUUUUCUGCAGCUUCUGGUUUAUGUGGCGUUACCAGUGCAAAUAUUACACAUGUUGAAGUACGAUACACCCUGAUGUGGUGUUCCUUGUGGUGUUUGAUUAAUUACUCAUGUUCAUGUGAAUCAUUGCCUACCAGCACUAUUUAUGGUUUUGUUCUGCAAACUUGAGUGAACCUUGAGUAUAUAUUUGAACACCCAGUUCCAAUAAGAUAUGAGUUAUCAUAGACAUAGACGGCAUAGACAUUUAUGAUCCAGAGAUAAAGCCAACAUUUAUACUCUAAUCUGUGAAUAUUGUGAGUCUGCAAAUUUAGUUGUACAUUGAUUAUUGUUUUCUUGAUUGUUUUUUCUUGAUGUCUUUAUAGACCAGCACUGUGUUGAUCUGUUACAGUUUUUAAAUGUACACUUCAUUCUUUAUGGUCAGAGUGGAGUCACUACACUGAUCUGUAUCACACUUGCCGAACUAAAAAGAAACCAGGGACUGUAGAUGAAUUCCAUGUCUUAAAUCAGUUUAUGAAAUUAUACCAUAAAUGUAUUAAACACAAUCCCUUUUGUAUGGCAGUUUCAUCAUGCCCUUUUACAAAAUAAAAAUAUUCACCAUACAGUACAUGAUUGCAUCAGCACCAUUAAUGCCUAAACAGUGGCUUUAAAUGAAAUACCAUUAGAGCACCAAACCUGUAAUUGUCUCUUAAAGACAGAUGCACAACUACUAAAAGCAAACUGACAGAUACACAGGAACAAGCAUAUAAUAGAUGGAAUUAUAAAAGUUCUAGAAAUACAUUUUUUAAAAUCGAAAGUUGUCUACAAAAUUGUGGG